rnacentral:rRNA from 1 species
CCUACGGGGGGCAGCAGUCGAGAAUCAUUCACAAUGGGGGAAACCCUGAUGGUGCGACGCCGCGUGGGGGAAUGAAGGUCUUCGGAUUGUAAACCCCUGUCAUGUGGGAGCAAAUUAAAAAGAUAGUACCACAAGAGGAAGAGACGGCUAACUCUGUGCCAGCAGCCGCGGUAAUACAGAGGUCUCAAGCGUUGUUCGGAAUCACUGGGCGUAAAGCGUGCGUAGGCUGUUUCGUAAGUCGUGUGUGAAAGGCGCGGGCUCAACCCGCGGACGGCACAUGAUACUGCGAGACGGGAGGAAUGGAGGGGGAACCGGAAUUCUCGGUGUAGCAGUGAAAUGCGUAGAUAUCGAGAGGAACACUCGUGGCGAAGGCGGGUUCCUGGACAUUAACUGACGCUGAGGCACGAAGGCCAGGGGAGCGAAAGGGAUUAGAUACCCUGGUAGUC